rnacentral:rRNA from 1 species
UACAGAGGUCCCGAGCGUUGUUCGGAUUCAUUGGGCGUAAAGGGUGCGUAGGCGGCGAGGCCAGUCUGAUGUGAAAUCCCCGGGCUCAACCCGGGAACUGCAUUGGAUACUGCCUUGCUUGAGUACUGGAGAGGGAACUGGAAUUUACGGUGUAGCAGUGAAAUGCGUAGAGAUCGUAAGGAAGGCCAGUGGCGAAGGCGAGUUCCUGGACAGUUACUGACGCUGAGGCACGAAAGCGUGGGGAGCAAACAGG